AGUGAGGAAUAUUGCACAAUGGGGGAAACCCUGAUGCAGCAACGCCGCGUGGAGGAUGACGCAUUUCGGUGUGUAAACUCCUUUUAUAUGUCAAGAAAAUGACGGUAGCAUAUGAAUAAGCACCGGCUAACUCCGUGCCAGCAGCCGCGGUAAUACGGAGGGUGCAAGCGUUAUUCGGAAUCACUGGGCGUAAAGGACGCGUAGGCGGGUUUGUAAGUCAGGUGUGAAAUCCUAUGGCUCAACCAUAGAACUGCACUUGAAACUACUAACCUAGAGUAUGGGAGGGGGAGAUGGAAUUAGUGGUGUAGGGGUAAAAUCCGUAGAUAUCACUAGGAAUACCGAAAGCGAAGGCGAUCUCCUGGAACAUAACUGACGCUAAGGCGUGAAAGCGUGGGGAGCAAACAGGAUUAGAUACCCUGGUAGUCCACGCCCUAAACGAUGAACACUAGUCGUCGGGGUACUAGUUACUUCGGUGAUGCACUUAACAGAUUAAGUGUUCCGCCUGGGGAGUACGGUCGCAAGAUUAAAACUCAAAGGAAUAGACGGGGACCCGCACAAGUGGUGGAGCAUGUGGUUUAAUUCGAAGAUACGCGAAGAACCUUACCUAGCCUUGACAUUGAUAAAACACUCUAGAGAUAGAGUGGUGCCCUUCGGGGAAUUUGAAAACAGGUGCUGCACGGCUGUCGUCAGCUCGUGUCGUGAGAUGUUGGGUUAAGUCCCGCAACGAGCGCAACCCUCGUCCUUAGUUGCCAGCAGUUCGGCUGGGCACUCUAAGGAGACUGCCUUCGCAAGGAGGAGGAAGGUGAGGACGACGUCAAGUCAUCAUGGCCCUUAUGGCUAGGGCUACACACGUGCUACAAUGGGGCGUACAGAGAGUUGCGAUACCGCGAGGUGGAGCCAAUCUCAUAAAGCGUCUCUCAGUUCGGAUUGUAGUCUGCAACUCGACUACAUGAAGCUGGAAUCACUAGUAAUCGUAGAUCAGCAAUGCUACGGUGAAUACGU
rnacentral:rRNA from 1 species